rnacentral:rRNA from 1 species
CCUACGGGGGGCUGCAGUGGGGAAUAUUGGACAAUGGGGGGAACCCUGAUCCAGCCAUGCCGCGUGUGUGAAGAAGGCCCUCGGGUUGUAAAGCACUUUCAGUGAGGAAGAACGCCUGGUGGUUAAUACCCAUCAGGAAAGACAUCACUCACAGAAGAAGCACCGGCUAACUCCGUGCCAGCAGCCGCGGUAAUACGGAGGGUGCGAGCGUUAAUCGGAAUUACUGGGCGUAAAGCGCGCGUAGGUGGCUUGAUAAGCCGGUUGUGAAAGCCCCGGGCUCAACCUGGGAACGGCAUCCGGAACUGUCAAGCUAGAGUGCAGGAGAGGAAGGUAGAAUUCCCGGUGUAGCGGUGAAAUGCGUAGAGAUCGGGAGGAAUACCAGUGGCGAAGGCAGCCUUCUGGACUGACACUGACACUGAGGUGCGAAAGCGUGGGUAGCAAACAGGAUUAGAUACCCUAGUAGUC